GACGAACGCUGGCGGCGUGCUUAACACAUGCAAGUCGAACGGACCUUCGGGUUAGUGGCGAACGGGUGAGUAACACGUGGGCGAGCUGACCUGCACUUGGGGAUAAGCCUGGGAGACUGGGUCUACUACCGGAAAGGACUACGAAUAGCACGGAGGGUGGUGGGAAGCUUUUGGGGUGUGGGCUGGGCUCGCGGCCUAGCAGGUUGUUGGGGGGGGAAUGGCCGACGAAGGGGACGACGGGGAGCCGGCCUGAGAGGGUGACCGGCGACACUGGGACUGAGAUACGGCCCAGACUCCUACGGGAGGCAGCAGUGGGGAAUAUUGCACAAUGGGCGCAAGCCUGAUGCAGCGGCGCCGCGGGAGGGAUGACGGCCUUGGGGUUGUAAACCUCUUUCGCCAGAGACGAAGCGCAAGUGACGGUACCUGGAGAAGAAGGACCGGCCAACUACGUGCCAGCCGCCGCAGUAACAC
rnacentral:rRNA from 1 species